UUUUCUACAAUAUAGGCUUGCUUUGAGAUGACAUCCUUGGAUUAGAUGGGAAAACUAUUUACAGAUGUGAUGAUCCUGGCAGUCAAAUAUACUUUUAUUUCCAAGAAUGCUAGUCGAAAAAUACACAGAACAAGAUGUUAAUGGUGGUUUCCAGUAAAACGUAAUAAAUUGACAUUGAGAGGGUAAAUCAGCAAGGGGAAGAAGUAGAAUCCCAUUCAUGCUUCUUUGGAUUGGUUUUGGAAAUGGACCGUUAGUAGAAAGGGUUAUGAUUUUAACACAUGAAACGAACAAGGUGAAAAAAUAAAAACGAUUGGAAACCUGGAGGAGUGGAGCCCCUUGGGACCUGAAAGGUGCAGUUUUUAGAAAUACGUGCAGUCCAAUUGACACCGAUGCAUAUAAAAUUACACAUGUGAUGUCUUCUACUGUGUGGUUCAUUUCACCAUCAGUGGCAUUAUUUUCCUUUCACAAGCGUCUAUUGUUGAACAACGCUUAGGAAUAAAACUAGAGCACCAUAGAGUAUAUUUGAGAUCGUCCAACAGAUGAGAGGAAAUUGAAGUUCAGAUUGAUCCUAUUGAAGCAAAACUAAUAACUGGUGUUGUCUUUCUUGGACUCUAUUCUGGAUUUGCUGUUUUCAUCUUCACCUUGCAACAUUAUGCAGUUAAUUUUCAACAGAUAAGUGAGAACAAGAGGAGAUUUACUUGAAUUCCACUAAAGGAGCAAGUUUUCUUCUUUGGCAUUUCUAC